rnacentral:misc_RNA from 1 species
UUUCCGUAGGUGAACCUGCGGAAGGAUCAUUAUCGUACAAAAUGUUAGGGACAUGCGAGGGCUGUAGCUGACCCAAACGUCGUGCACGCCUGAGUGUGUCCUCUUGCAUAAUAAUCCAUCUCACCCUUUGUGCAUCACCGCGUGGGCACCCUUCGGGAUCAUCUCGCAGAGAUACUCGCGAUUUUACAAAAACCCCCCUUUUAAAACUGUCGACUAACCACAAUUAUGCAAUCCAUACAACUUUCAACAACGAAUCUCUUCGCUUUCGCAUCGAUGAAA